UACGGGGGGAGCAAGCGUUGUUCGGAUUUAUUGGGCGUAAAGAGCGCGCAGGCGGUCGUUCAAGUCGCGUGUGAAAGCCCCCGGCUCAACUGGGGAGGGUCACGCGAUACUGAUCGACUCGAAGGCAGGAGAGGGUAGUGGAAUUCCCGGUGUAGUGGUGAAAUGCGCAGAUAUCAGGAGGAACACCAAUGGCGAAGGCAGCUCGCUGGGACGGUACUGACGCUGAGGCGCGAAAGCGUGGGGAGCAAACAGG
rnacentral:rRNA from 1 species